rnacentral:rRNA from 1 species
GAUGAACGCUGGCGGCGUGCCUAAUACAUGCAAGUCGAGCGAACAGACGAGGAGCUUGCUCCUCUGACGUUAGCGGCGGACGGGUGAGUAACACGUGGAUAACCUACCUAUAAGACUGGGAUAACUUCGGGAAACCGGAGCUAAUACCGGAUAAUAUAUUGAACCGCAUGGUUCAAUAGUGAAAGACGGUUUUGCUGUCACUUAUAGAUGGAUCCGCGUCGCAUUAGCUAGUUGGUAAGGUAACGGCUACCAAGGCAACGAUGCGUAGCCGACCUGAGAGGGGGGUGCGCCCCACAGGGAAAUGGGGACGGGCCCGAGACCUGAGGGGGGCGAGGGGGGGGGAAUUUCACGAAAGGGGCGAAGCCCGGACGGGGCAACCCGGCGUGAGGAAUGAGGGUCUACGGAUCGUAAAACCUUUUUAUUGGGGAAAAACAAAUGUGUAAGUAACUAGGCCCGUCUUACGGGUACCAAAUAAGAAAGCCGGGCCAAACUCGGU